AAGUCGUAACAAGGUUUCCGUAGGUGAACCUGCGGAAGGAUCAUUAGUGAUUGGCGCAAGCCUUUACCUUUCAUACACCUGUGCACCGUCGGUCUUCGGACCUUUACAAACAAAUAGUAACGAACGUAAAACAUUAUAAUAAAUAAAACUUUUAACAACGGAUCUCUUGGCUCUCGCAUCGAUGAAGAACGCAGCGAAAUGCGAUAAGUAAUGUGAAUUGCAGAAUUCAGUGAAUCAUCGAAUCUUUGAACGCACCUUGCGCCCUUUGGUAUUCCGAAGGGCAUGCCUGUUUGAGUGUCAUGAAUCAUCAAUCCUCGAGGUUUCUCUUGGAUUGGAGUUGGGCGUUGCCGACCGGCUCGCCUUAGAGAUGUUAGCAGACACGAUGGUGAUGUCGACGUGAUACGUUUCGUCGGACCAGCCAUACGCCCGCUCAUAACCCCACGGCUUCAGCCCACUUUAACUCUGACCUCAAAUCAGGUAGGACUACCCGCUGAACUUAAGCAUAUCAAUAAGCGGAGGAAAAGAAACUAACAAGGAUUCCCCUAGUAACGGCGAGUGAACCGGGAAGAGCUCAAAUUUGUAAUCUGGCGUGCUACGUGCGUCCGAGUUGUAAUCUAGAGAGGCGUUUUCCGUGCCGGUCCGUGUCCAAGUCCCUUGGAACAGGGUAUCAAAGAGGGUGACAAUCCCGUACUUGACACGACCACCGGUGCUCUGUGAUACGUCUUCGACGAGUCGAGUUGUUUGGGAAUGCAGCUCAAAACGGGUGGUAAAUUCCAUCUAAAGCUAAAUAUUGGCGAGAGACCGAUAGCGAACAAGUACCGUGAGGGAAAGAUGAAAAGCACUUUGGAAAGAGAGUUAAACAGUAUGUGAAAUUGUUAAAAGGGAAACGAUUGAAGUCAGUCGUGUUCAUUGGAUUCAGCCGGUUCUGCCGGUCUACUUCCUUUGAACGGGUCAACAUCAGUUUUGAUCGGUGGAUAAAUCCGGGAGGAAGGUGGCAUCCUCGGAUGUGUUAUAGCCUCCCGUUGCAUACGCUGGUCGAGACUGAGGAACGCAGCUCGCCUUUAUGGCCGGGGUUCGCCCACGUCCGAGCUUAGGAUGUUGACAUAAUGGCUUUAAACGACC
rnacentral:rRNA from 1 species